rnacentral:rRNA from 1 species
UUCUGGACAGUACUGACGCUGAGAUGCGAAGCGUGGGGAGCAAACAGGAUUAGAUACCCUGGUAGUCCACGCUGUAAACGAUGUCGAUUUGGAGUUUGUUGCCUAGAGUGAUGGGCUCCGAAGCUAACGCGAUAAAUCGACCGCUGGGGAGUACGGCCGCAAGGUUAAAACUCAAAUGAAUUGACGGGGGCCCGCACAAGCGGUGGAGCAUGUGGUUUAAUUCGAUGCAACGCGAAGAACCUUACCUGGUCUUGACAUCCAUAGAAUUCUGCAGAGAUGUGGGAGUGCCUUCGGGAACUAUGAGACAGGUGCUGCAUGGCUGUCGUCAGCUCGUGUUGUGAAAUGUUGGGUUAAGUCCCGCAACGAGCGCAACCCUUAUUCUUUGUUGCCAGCGAUUUGGUCGGGAACUCAAAGGAGACUGCCGUUGAUAAAGCGGAGGAAGGUGGGGACGACGUCAAGUCAUCAUGGCCCUUACGACCAGGGCUACACACGUGCUACAAUGGCGUAUACAAAGGGAAGCGAAGGUGCGAGCUGGAGCGGAUCUCAUAAAGUACGUCUAAGUUCGGAUUGGAGUCUGCAACUCGACUCCAUGAAGUCGGAAUCGCUAGUAAUCGUAGAUCAGAAUGCUACGGUGAAUACGUUCCCGGGCCUUGUACACACCGCCCGUCACACCAUGGGAGUGGGUUGCACCAGAAGUAGAUAGCUUAGCCGCGAGGGGGGCGUUUACCACGGUGUGAUUCAUGACUGGGGUGAAGUCGUAACAAGGUAACCA